rnacentral:rRNA from 1 species
GAUGAACGCUGGCGGCGUGCCUAAUACAUGCAAGUCGAGCGAACAGACGAGGAGCUUGCUCCUCUGACGUUAGCGGCGGACGGGUGAGUAACACGUGGAUAACCUACCUAUAAGACUGGGAUAACUUCGGGAAACCGGAGCUAAUACCGGAUAAUAUAUUGAACCGCAUGGUUCAAUAGUGAAAGACGGUUUUGCUGUCACUUAUAGAUGGAUCCGCGCCGCAUUAGCUAGUUGGUAAGGUAACGGCUUACCAAGGCAACGAUGCGUAGCCGACCUGAGAGGGGGAUCGGCCACACUGGAACUGAGACACGGUCCAGACUCCUAAGGGAGGCAGCAGUAGGGAAUCUUCCGCAAUGGGCGAAAGCCUGACGGAGCAACGCCGCGUGAGUGAUGAAGGUCUUCGGAUCGUAAAACUCUGUUAUUAGGGAAGAACAAAUGUGUAAGUAAAUAUGCACGUCUUGACGGUACCUAAUCAGAAAGCCACGGCUAACUACGUG